GUAAGACCAGAUUGACGGUUAAUCGUGUACGGAGCUCAACAGCUGUUCGGACGAACAACGUGAAACCUGCUCGCGAAUAACGCAGAACCUGCUGGCGAAAGAGACGGCUCCAUGGAAGGUUAACGUCUAACACGAGUUAGAGAACGGCACCUAAAUUGGACGACGCAUAGCGUCUGUUCCUGGAUAUGGAAUCAACGGGGUUACGAGUUUCUUGCCCUGACUCAAACAGACCGAAAACGACGUAGUUGAUUGUUGUACGUCAUAAAUUCAUCAAAGUCACAGUCUGAUUAUUACACGAUAUCUACCGCGUGCUUUUAAGGACAGUAAUAACGCUAAUAAGUUGGUCUCAAAUGUGUUAAAAUCGAUCAUCGGCAGAAAAUCGAUUGCACAGGUGACGCGCGACAAUCGACGAGCGUCCAACGAGAACGUCCACGCGAAUCCAAUUUUGGAACGCGGCAGUUAUUUCUAUUAACCAGUUAGACAUCUCUUUGCCGUUUAAUGGCCGAACCAGAACGCUGUGUUCGACGGGUGAUUAAUGGCAUGAGAAAAUAUCCGGGUUCCACAACGAUUGGCCACUGCCCAGAUCAAUUCGUAGACUUUGGACUUGACACUGAACUUGCCGAAUUGUUCCUUUGAAGACGAUUUUCUCUAUUAGCGCGAAUUAAAUACAGCGAUGACGGUUUUUAUUUUAAAAUAUAUCUUUCAGUGAUCGAUAUGUUUUUAUUUCAAAAUAUUAGAUUGUCCCAAAAGUUUCUUUCGCUUUAUUAAUUAGUAAUACAUGGCCAAUAGUUUAUGUUUUAUGUUAUAUUACUGAAUUGUGCACGACUCAUUUUGUUCCAUUACUGUUACAACAUGAAUAUCUAUGAAAUUAGAUUGUCUAUUUAUAUAAACACGACCACAUCAAAUAAUUGAGUGCAACUCGCGAAAGAAACUUUCAGGACAACCUACUAUAUAUACAUCGUUCAGUGAUCGAUAUCUGUUUUCUGUCGAACUCGAACAAGUCUCGAAGAAGAAGUGUCGAAAAAGCUGUGCUUUUCCGUCGAAACAGCGAAACAGCGAAACAGCGAAACAGACGAAAUGGAUCAUUAUUAUUUCAAAGAUUUCUCAAGAAAGAAAUUCUUGAUAUUUAGAAUAAUAAAAUGCAACUAAGUUAGCUAGAAGUUCUUUAUGCAGUGGACAUGGCAACACCGACAACGGCCUUGAGCUUUGCUCGAGUCGACGAAAAUAAGAUCAAAGCAGAGAAAUUGUCUAGAGAUGAGUUUCACAGAAACCGGUGACAACCGGUGCUCAGUGAGCGCAAAGACGGGCUACCGAAUUAUGCAAUCGCCUUUCUCGUUUCCGGUUUCCCCGAAACCGGAAGCUCUGGCGCAAUCUUCCGCGAGAACACUUGGUUUACGGAUUUAUAGGCCUGCCAGAUUUAAAUAGGUCUCCAAAUCAUUCAAAUAUUCCUAAACUCGCAGGACCGAAGGGAAGCGUGUAACGCGAACUAAAGUUUGGAAUAGGUUCGAAGUCCGACUUCGUUACUCCCUAAUUUACCGGAAAAAUAUAUCGCGUAUCAACGUAUAAACUUCCUUCAUCCGAAAAUAAACAACAAAGAAAAAUGUACGAUACACAAAUUCCUCUUAAUCGAAAUAAAUAAAUUAUACCGUUUCCCUAUUAUUUUUUACACGUCGCUAAAUUUCUGGAUGUACCACUGCCGGUGGUCUCUGCCAACAGAAAAACGUUUCGCAAUCCGCCAACGCUAUACGUGCAGAAGACGUACACUCGCGUGUAUUUCCCACUUGAUGUUUUCAUUCAUAAACGCUUACACCGUCAUUCAUGCGCGAAACAAGAUCAUCGGAGCGAGAGAGACAUCUCCGUCGCUUCGACGACGAUUAUUCGU